rnacentral:rRNA from 1 species
UACGUAGGGGGGCAAGCGUUGUCCGGAUUUAUUGGGCGUAAAGAGCGUGUAGGCGGCCUUACAGGUCAGCUGUGAAAACUCGAGGCUCAACCUCGAGACGUCGGUUGAAACCGUAUGGCUAGAGUCCGGAAGAGGAGAGUGGAAUUCCCGGUGUAGCGGUGAAAGUGCGCAGAUAUCGGGAAGAACGACCCGUGGCGAAGGCGGCUCUCUGGGACGGUACUGACGCUGAGGUGCGAAAGCGUGGGGAGCAA